AGAUGACAAGGGCGCUGACUUAUUUUUAUGCUAAACCGGAGCAUAUUCAGUCAGGAACCAACAAAGACCAUACACAUACUGCGGAACGUAAAAAUCAAUAUACACAAUGCAGUCUAUAUAUUUUAUGCUGCUUCUUCUUAUCACAUUUUCAGUAUUUUGCAAUGGUUUGAAAAAGGAGACGACCAAGAAAAAAGGGAAACAACUCAAUGACGACCCACUUAAAUUAAUUUUGGCUCAAAAUAACUGGAAGGAAUUAGCUUCAAAAUUUAUUUCGGACGUUGCCUCUAACAUAGAUAUGAACAAAGUAAUGAAGAUGGUAAAAAGUUUCAAUGUAUCAUCCUUUCUGAAGGACUUUCAGAAAAAAGAGUUAUAAUUUUAAAUGACGCAAUGAUAAAAUGAUAUUCUUAUGGUUGUAGGUCUAACUAAAGAACUGUUGUAAGAAUGAAUAAAUUUUGAAGUAUUUUUGUAAUAAACGCAACAUGUAUAUGAUAAUA